UACGGAGGGCGCGAGCGUUAAUCGGAAUUACUGGGCGUAAAGCGCGCCUAGGCUGUUGUGUAAGUUGGGGGUGAAAUCCACGGCUCAACCGUGGAACAGCCCUUGAUACUGCGCGACUUGAAUCCGGGAGAGGGUGGCGGAAUUCCAGGUGUAGGAGUGAAAUCCGUAGAUAUCUGGAGGAACAUCAGUGGCGAAGGCGGCCACCUGGACCGGUAUUGACGUUGAGGCUCGAGAGCGUGGGGAGCAAACAGG
rnacentral:rRNA from 1 species